CCCUGCCAAAGGAGUGGGGAGAGAUGGUGAGAGAAGCAUUGACAGCGUACAGAGUGCUGCUUCGAGCAAGUCGGAAAUCUUUCGCUGGGGACUCGGUGAUGCUGAACGCGUCAGCCUCCGAGGUCAGGAAGAAAUUCGAAGAGAAUCGUCAUGUUUCAUCUCAGACUGAGAUCCAGAGGCUCCUGGAAGAAGCUGGCGAAGCCUCUCACUUCAUUUCUACCAUGAUCGUCCAAGCCAAACUCAACGAACGGGGCGGCUACGAGAUGAAGCUUGGUCGAGACCAUGCUGGAGCAACAGUUGAGGUUCCAUCUGAAGAGAUUCUUCGGAAGUCUGUGUAAGGAAGAAUGUCUUUAAUAAUACGAAUUACGAAGUAGUUUGUAUAAUGAUGUAUGUU
rnacentral:misc_RNA from 1 species